GAUGAAGAACGUAGCGAAAUGCGAUAAGUAAUGUGAAUUGCAGAAUUCAGUGAAUCAUCGAAUCUUUGAACGCACAUUGCGCCCGCCAGUAUUCUGGCGGGCAUGCCUGUUCGAGCGUCAUUUCAACCAUCAAGCCCCAGGCUUGUGUUGGGGACCUGCGGCUGCCGCAGGCCCUGAAAACCAGUGGCGGGCUCGCUAGUCACACCGAGCGUAGUAGCAUACACAUCGCUCAGGGCGUGCUGCGGGUUCCGGCCGUUAAACCCCUUUUUUACCCAAGGUUGACCUCGGAUCAGGUAGGAAGACCCGCUGAACUUAAGCAUACAAUAAGCGGAGGA
rnacentral:misc_RNA from 1 species